AAACUUAAUAGUUACAACUUUCAACAACGGAUCUCUUGGUUCUGGCAUCGAUGAAGAACGCAGCGAAAUGCGAUAAGUAGUGUGAAUUGCAGAAUUCAGUGAAUCAUCGAAUCUUUGAACGCACAUUGCGCCCCUUGGUAUUCCAUGGGGCAUGCCUGUUCGAGCGUCAUUU
rnacentral:rRNA from 1 species